rnacentral:lncRNA from 1 species
GAGUAAAGAAAUUGGUUUAAUAAACACAAUAAGAUGGACCCUGUCAACCUGUCAGUGGACAUGGUAUAUGGGGCAGAAUGCAUCUCAGCUAAUGGAUUAUGUGUCCUUGUAGUAUUGAGAGAAAGCCAGGAUUUCAGUGACGUAACCCCAGUGCUGAUUUAUUUGAAGAUGAGUUGUUUUUGUUUCCUUGCCAGGAUAUGGAUCUUUAGGGGGCACUGGCUAUCCUGCAGCACGACCAGGUUAUGGUGAUGGAGCAACAGGAUAUCUUGGUGCUGUGGCAGGGAACGGCUUGGGUAAGUUCAGCAAGUUAGAGAAGUAAACAUCAGAGUAUUUACACUGAGGAAAACUUUAACCUGCACUGGCAGAGGAUCGUCCGUCGACUUUUUCUUUGUUUCCGUUACAUUUGUGUUUCACUGUAGGCUGAGGCAGUUUUGCAAAAGCUUUGCAAAAGCUUUCCCCUCUCUUUCAUGUAUAAUUGCAAUCUUUUAAGUGCUUCAACAUCUCUCCUCUCAACAGGUUAUGGGAAUGGUGACGGCUAUGGAGCUGGUGAGUGAAGCCUGAAAAUUACUGGAGCAAAAUGGGGUCUGAAAGUCAGUCUAGCUCUCGACAUAUACAACAUAAUUAGUGCUAAUUAGUACUAUGUUUCAGGGCUUGCUUACCCUGCAGAGUUAGCCGAUGGUGCUGAGAAAAAAGCAGGGAAGAGUGAAGGUAACAGUUCUGAGGAGCGAUAACCUGCUUAAAAACCCACGAGGAGUGAUGGCACUAACCUUUAGAGGCUUAACCCAUGAUACUGGAUAGCUUGACAAAGUAGAUGUCUAUAGAAACGGCUUGCUCUAAUAUGCUCAGUGUGAUUUUUUUAUCCACUGGGUGUAGCUAUUGUCUCUGGUUUAUCGAAGCUGAUCAGUUAAAUCUGGUGGUUUCUGCCCUCCUGCUCCCGUAGAUGCUUUUGAAACUAAACUAACAAUAAGUUAAUCAGUUGAAUCAAUUAAUGACACAAGAAUGUUUGACCUGCAUGUUUAUGUUUGUCUUUUUUCAGCCCUCAGUCCUGGAGGCUAUGCUGGACAGGUCCAGGGGGGCUAUGGUAAGAGAUUUAAGGAAACUCUCUCACAUAAACCAACAAAAGUAAACAGAAAGGCUUUUUCUUUUAGUAUUUAAAAGCAUUUGGUUAUAGAAUAUAAAGCAUUUAUUCUCCUCCAAAUCUGUUUGAAUUUAAUUUCAAACCAGUAAACACCCUGCAUGGAACAUAAGCCUUGCAUUUACCAGCAGGAGUGAUGCCUACAUGUGUUUUCUGUGACGUGUGAAUUCUUGACUCAAAAA